GCGUGAGCGCCAACGUGCGAGAGCGGUGUAUCUCAAUCCGAGCACACUAUGAAUCUGUAUCUGUGAGUUCGCCCUUAGCCGCUCUCUGUAGCUCGCGCUCUCAGAUUCUCUCGCGGGCGGCGUGUUUCUACACUUUGCAAGCGUGUGCCAGUCAGAAGUUAGUUGAACAUUCAGCGCCACAAAAGCCACGCUAAAAACAUAACAAUCAAAAAAUCAAAAUUUACUAAAAAAUUAAUUUUGUUUAAACUCAAAAAUUGGCAAUAUUUUUUGAGCAAUUAAAAGAGCAAAAGCAACCCAAAACUAAUUAUAAUGAGAGCUUUACCGAGAGCUAAAGUUCAAUUAAGACCAACCGAAAAGCACGUGUCACUGCCAAGCAGUUGAAACAAAUAAAAUCCAAGCAAAGUGAAAUAUUAAUGUGGAACUCUCAACAAAAUAAAAAUUAAGAAAUAUAAUUCACAAAAAUUAGCGCGUGUUUGUAGUGCCGCCAGAAAAAUAGAAAAAAAGCCUAACAACAAAAUUUCAGCAGCGUUUCAUCGGCAGCAGCGUUAAACGUUUUUCAAACUGAAAACUGUCAACAAAAUAAAACCACAAAAAAGAAAAAAAAAAAA